rnacentral:rRNA from 1 species
UACGGAGGGUGCUAGCGUUGUUCGGAAUUACUGGGCGUAAAGCGCACGUAGGCGGCUUUGUAAGUUAGAGGUGAAAGCCCGGGGCUCAACUCCGGAAUUGCCUUUAAGACUGCAUCGCUAGAAUUGUGGAGAGGUAAGUGGAAUUCCGAGUGUAGAGGUGAAAUUCGUAGAUAUUCGGAAGAACACCAGUGGCGAAGGCGACUUACUGGACACAUAUUGACGCUGAGGUGCGAAAGCGUGGGGAGAAAACAGG